CUGGGCAUGGUUUGGGGGGGGC
rnacentral:miRNA from 1 species